GAGACACGCUGGCGGCGUGCUUAACACAUGCAAGUCGAACGGUUGACGAGGAGCUUGCUCCUCUGAUCAGUGGCGAACGGGUGAGUAACACGUGAGCAACCUGCCCCAGACUCUGGGAUAACAGUUGGAAACAGCUGCUAAUACCGGAUACGAGACGGAGAGGCAUCUCUACCGUCUGGAAAGUUUUUCGGUCUGGGAUGGACUCGCGGCCUAUCAGCUAGUUGGUGAGGUAAUGGCUCACCAAGGCGACGACGGGUAGCCGGCCUGAGAGGGCGACCGGCCACACUGGGACUGAGACACGGCCCAGACUCCUACGGGAGGCAGCAGUGGGGAAUAUUGCACAAUGGGCGAAAGCCUGAUGCAGCGACGCCGCGUGAGGGAUGACGGCCUUCGGGUUGUAAACCUCUUUCAGCAGGGAAGAAGCGAAAGUGACGGUACCUGCAGAAGAAGCACCGGCUAACUACGUG
rnacentral:rRNA from 1 species